GAAGGUGGCGAGCGUUGUUCGGAAUCACUGGGCUUAAAGCGCAUGUAGGCGGCCAUGUAAGCGUCUUGUGAAAUCCCUCGGCUCAACCGAGGAACUGCUGGGCGAACUGCAUGGCUUGAGGCAGGUAGAGGUACAUGGAACUCUUGGUGGAGCGGUGAAAUGCGUAGAUAUCAAGAGGAACGCCGGAGGCGAAGGCGGUGUACUGGGCCUGUCCUGACGCUGAGAUGCGAAGGCUAGGGUAGCGAACGGGAUUAGAUACCCCGGUAGUCCUAGCAGUAAACGAUGCCUACUAGGUCGGAGGUUCUCUGACGGAGUUCCGGCCGGACUAAGCGUUAAGUAGGCCGCCUGGGAGUACGGUCGCAAGGCUA
rnacentral:rRNA from 1 species